GGGGUGGGCGUGCCCAAAAUUUGGGGGGUCCCAUAGGUGGUCCCAUGGGUGAUGUCCCCAAAAUGGGGUCCCCAAAAUUGGGGUGGGGGUCCCCAAAAUUUGGGGUUACCAAAAUUUGGGUGGGGGUCCCCAAAAUGGGGUCACCAAGACGGGGAUGGUCCCCAAAUUUAGGGUGGGGGUCCCCAAAAUUUGGGUAGGGGUCCCCAAAUUUGGGGUCACCAAGGUGGAGAUGGUCCCCAAAAUUUGGGGUCACCAAAAUUAGGGUGGGGGUCCCAUGGGUGAUGUCCCCAAAAUUUGGGGUCCCCAAAAUUUGGGUGGGGGUCCCCAAAAUGGGGUCACCAAGGUGGGGACGGUCCCCAAAAUUUGGGGUCCCCAAAAAUUUGGGUGGGGGUCCCCAAAAUUUGGGGUCACCAAGGUGGGCGUGGCCAAACUGGGGGUGGAGCCUCCAACUUCGGUGGGCGUGGCCAAGUUGAGGUGGGCGUGACCAAUUCAAGUGGGCGUGGCCAACUUGUGGGCGUGGCCAAGUUGAGGUGGGCGUGGCUAGAUUGGAGGUGGGCGUGGCCUCAAAUCGGGGUGGGCGUGGCCAAGUUGGCUCCGCCCCCCCCCGCUCCGCUCACUGCCGGGGGAAACCCCCUCAUUAAUUGUUAAUUAGCCCUUAAUUAAUUAAUGGAUUAAUUAAUUGCCGCCCUCUUUCCUCUGUUUUUAAUUGGUUUUUUGGGGUUAAUUUUAUUUUUUUGGGGGGUUUAAGUUUAAUUUUUUUUUUUGUUAAAAACCUCGCGGGUUUUAUUUAUUGUUG